rfam:Colletotrichum higginsianum, IMI 349063, WGS project CACQ02000000 data, contig: cont1.1141
GCCAGCAUGGCCAAGUGGUAAGGCAUCGCACUUGUAAUGCGGGGAUCCUGUGUUCGAUCCACAGUGUUGGCA